rnacentral:rRNA from 1 species
ACGCUCGACACCUACGCAGGCAGCAGUGGGGGAAUAUUGCACAAUGGGGGAAACCCGUGAUGCAGCGACGCCGCGUGAAGGAUGAAGUAUUUCGGUAUGUAAACUUCUAUCAGCAGGGAAGAAAGUGACGGUACCUGACUAAGAAGCCCCGGCUAACUACGUGCCAGCACGCCGGACGGUAAUCUGAGGCGGGUCGUGGACGAAGGC